UCGGAUAUGGUGUAAUGGUUAACAUUACCGCCUCUCAUAAUUUCAGGUUCGCGGUAGCUCGGGGUUCGAUUCCCCGUAUCCGAA